AUAUGCAUUUAGUGUUUUUCACGUAAAAGUAACUACCGUAUGUCCUGCAGCCUGCUUCUGGUUGCUAGCUAGAGCUUUUUCAGGUCACUUUCCUUCACAAAAAGUCCAUGGAAGCCGUAAGGAACCCGCCGAGGUAACCUUACGGCAGCCACAAUAUCAAGCCCUGGUGAUUUUGCAUCCAUCACCAAGAACUUGGACUCUCCUGCUGUCUCAUCAUGAACAUAUGACACCACGUACCCAUCAUCUUCCUCUGCCUCUGGAUUCUCAGGCUCCCUUGCUACAAAGAAAGGCUCACCACCAUAGCAUCUUGGCCCAAAUAUCCUGCUAGCCACCGUGCAUUCCUGCCGCUCUCCUUUGGACACAUCCAGCUUCACCACCCCUGAUAUCUUUGGCAUAGGGUCACCAAUUGCUGCGUACACGAAUCUGUUCUUUUUCCCUAAAUAAGCUGGGUUAAUCACACCAAAGUCCAGGUUUCUAGCUGAAACCGGGUUUCUUGUAACUAUGCCUGUUUUCAAGUCUAUUCUCACUUUCUCAACCAAGGCAUGGAUUAGGUCCAUUCGCUCCAGUGUGUGUUCUACUGAUAAAAUGUUUGGUGCUAAUAUGACUACGGCAUCCUCCU
rnacentral:lncRNA from 1 species